GACGAACGCUGGCGGCGUGCCUAACACAUGCAAGUCGAACGGAGCUGAGAGAAGCAGGCUCUUCUUAGCUUGGAGGCGAACGGGUGAGUAACGCGGGAGUAACCUGACCUGGAGUGGGGGACAACAGUAGGAAACGACUGCUAAUACCGCAUAAGCCCACGAUCCGGCAUCGGAUUGAGUGAAAAAGGUUUAUUCGCUUCAGGAUGGACUCGCGUCGAAUUAGCUAGUUGGUGGGGUAACGGCCCACCAAGGCGACGAUGGGUAGCCGGUCUGAGAGGAUGAUCAGCCACAUUGGGACUGAGACACGGCCCAGACUCCUACGGGAGGCAGCAGUGGGGAAUAUUGCACAAUGGGGGAAAGCCUGAUGCAGCGACGCCGCGUGGAGGAUGAAGGUUUUCGGAUUGUAAACUCCUGUCGUUAGGGACGAUAAUGACAGUACCUAACGAAAAAGCACCGGCUAACUACGUG
rnacentral:rRNA from 1 species